GUUAUAAUAUUGUAAUUUGCUCUCCCCUAAUGUUCCGUCAAAUGCAUCUGCUCAAACACAUUGGUUGCAGACCAGAACAGCAAAACCUGCUUCUGUUCGCGAACCAGCAGCUAUUACCAUGGACAAAAACAAGCUCAGCAACCCUAGAGCAAAAUGAAGCAUUGAAUUUACUAAUCAGGAAACAGCAAAGCAAAAAAAAAGGUGAUGACAAACUUAUAGUACAUCAUGCAAUUUGUCACCAAUGCAUUUUUUUGCAUGCCACAAUGGAGAAUGUGUAGAACCUACAGCUGGACAACUUGAACUUCGGACUGUCAAACGACAUAAGCAAGGGGCAUCAUCAACUAGACAACCACACAUGGAACAACAAAGGACAGCAGUGGAUUCUACCUAAAUUAGAUAUAUUGUUUCUUACAUAAAGAGUUACUG